rnacentral:rRNA from 1 species
CCCAACGAGAUCGGGAUAACACCUGGAAACAGAUGCUAAUACCGGAUAACAACAGAUGAUGCCUAUCAACUGUUUAAAAGAUGGCUCUGCUAUCACUCUUGGAUGGACCUGCGGUGCAUUAGCUAGUUGGUAGGGUAACGGCCUACCAAGGCGAUGAUGCAUAGCCGAGUUGAGAGACUGAUCGGCCACAUUGGGACUGAGACACGGCCCAAACUCCUACGGGAGGCAGCAGAC